rnacentral:lncRNA from 1 species
UGCUUAAGGCUCCGAAGUGAAGAUAGACCUACAAUGAAGCAAGUUGAAAUGAGUUUACAGUUCUUGCGAACAAAAAGAUCGAUGUCAUGCCAUGCUGCGCUAGAAAAUGGGGAAGAGAAGCAGUCAUUCCUACACACAAGGUCUGAAGUUUGUUAUGAGUCAUUGGCUAUUAACAUGGGUGGCAGUGCUAAUGCUGAGUCUGGAAAUAGCCACAAAUGCUAUAGUUUGGAACAAGAGUUCGUUUCAUCCAUUGGACUUCCACGCUAAGUCACUAUGAGCUACUUUAUAUAUAAUCUGAAAUUCAACCUAAUUUGUGGAGGAAAAAGAUAGGAUGUUUUUCAAUUAUAAACAGGUCUCAAUUAUGCACAUCAGCUUCUCACUCAAUAUGGUUCCCGAUCAAGGAUUCAGUAUAUAUCUUGUUUAUGGAGUCUCAUGGACAGUAAAGUACUCGUGCAUGUAGGUUUUUCUUGAGUAUUUUGCAAAUACCUCUAUCAUGAUGUUACAGAAGUUCUCCCAACGGUAAAUUGAGUGAUGUAUGUAUCUAGGUAUGAUAUUGUUGAACGAUGAUACUAAAAGUAAAUAAAUUCAACAUAAGAGUCAGGAUAACACUACUUAUGUAGUUCUGCAAUUGCUAUCUGCAGCCUCCAUCGAGGUCUGUCACUUUCUAUCUCUACUAGCCUUCUCAUUCUUAUAUACCCUUUCCACAAAACAAUAUAUGAUUAUUAAAGCAGAUAAAACAAUCCAAUUGAUUAUUAGGUGCCAUUCGAGGUCAGCAAUUAAAUAUGCCACACAAAUAUAUAGAAGACGAACAAUUAAUCCUAUAGGAUAAGCAUACCUUUGAAAUAAGGAUCUUUUUACAGUGCACCCAAGUUAUUAUGGACCCUCCAUCCAAUAUUAAUCCAAUGGCUAAUAAUUAUCUUAGCUCAUAGGGGGUAAGAAUUAUUUAUUAUCAUUAAAUGGCAAUGAAAACCAAUUAUUGUGUUCUAAUGAGGAAUGAAAGGAAGUUUCCUUGUUGAAAAUUUUAUGAAAUUCAAAAUAUAGUGCAAAAAUAAAUUCAAUUAGUUAAACUAAUGAUUUUUAUAACUCAUUUUCAUGAUUUUGAAUACUUUUUAAUAUGCUAUAUGAUGAACUUUUAUAUUGUUCGCCUUCAGUUUAAAACAUUCAAAUAUUUUUUUUAAAUGCGUUCAAUUUCUAUUUACAUAUCGACAACAUAUGACUUCAAUAUAUAAAUUUGUUCAUAAUAUUCUUUUUGUAGUAUAUUGAUUACAUGUGUAGUAUAUAUUUUUCUUGUAUUGCAUGCAUGCACAAGAACAAUAUACAUUGGUACUUUCCUUUGUUGGUUAAUAUAUUUAUGGUAGGAAAUAAUUUUUUUUUUGAAAAAAAUAAUCUAUCGAAAUUGAAUGGCUAGGAUUUGUCACAGCUCUCUUACCUCUCUAGAGGUAAGAUGGAGAACCCUAAAACAUCUCUUGAAAUAAACAAGACAAGCCCAUACAGAAGGAAUCAUGUGCAGGAAGGUGGCAUGGCAGCAACCAUUAGUCCUUGAUCCGGCAAUAAGUGAAUCUAGAAUUGGGAUUCAAUUUACGCCAGCUAGCUCUCACAAUCUUCCUAUACUGCGUGCAUUUAUACAUCCUCCAAAUUGACAAAAUUGCAGACAAUUAGCUGAAAAAACAAAUAUGCAUUAUACUCGAAAUUCUAGAGCAUUGCUACAGUGCUAUCUAUAUGGAUACUAGUUACUCCUGGCACUGGAAGAAACCUAAAGAAAAAAAAAACAUUGUUAUCAUUAGAUCAUUAGAGAUGCAUUUGUAACGAGACUACGAGCACUCCACUCGUGAUUAUUGGGUGCCAUGUUGAUCUGAAAGACUCAAUAUGCCCACGCAAAGAGUGAAAUAGCAGCCAAACAAUCAAAGCAGAUCACCAUCACUGGAAUCACUGGAAUUAAACUAAACAUGCAAGUCAAAAUGAAAAAAAAAAGAAUCGUUCCUCAUUUCCCCACCAGAAUGGGGAGGAAUCUAGCAAGGGGCAGCAGGACAUUAUACCUAUUAACACCCCGACGGUACGAGAGACCGGCAGAUCGCCCACCAUCCCUACCGGAAUCAGAUGAAAGGGAGGGAGGGGAGAGGAAUGUGGUCGGCGGCCUCGUGGGUCGGUCUCGUGGCGGCGAAGCUGGGGAGGAGGAGGUGGUGGUGGCUGGCGCCCUGCAGCCGGUGGCCACG